UCAAAAUUGAAUCUCCCCCCCAUCUGUCAUUGAUAUGAUUAGAUCAUACUGAUGGGUUUUGUCGACAACAAAGAGGUCCUUUCUAAAGUGAACUUUUUUGUGUGUCAAAUACCAAAUUGGCAAAUGCACAUUCAUUUCCUUCUCAUAAAGGGGCAACUUGAGAUGAGUUCUCUCAGAAUCCAUCAAGAAAAUGAAGGUCUAGAAUGGCUGGUCUCAGCAUGCAGGAGCUAGGUCUCUUCAUCACUUCCUAAAUACACAGUGUUAGCAGCAUAAAACUACCCACCCUGUCUUUGAGUGUAUAUGCCAAGGAUUUUGUCAAACAAUACGAAUCAAGUGAUUUUUAUUUCACCCACCUCAAAAAACAGUUCUAUCACAUCACUGAAAAAAAGGCUUUCAUUUCAUUUUUCCUUUUUUGGAAAAUAAAAAAGUCCUAUAUUGUCUUCUACCAGCAUUCAUCAUUUUUUUAAUGAUAAAGACUAACCAGCAGUUCACACAACAACCCACCCUUGUGUUGUCAUGUGAUUCAGUUUCCCUCUAUGCAUGGCUAUCCGGUUUCACCCUACACUCGAUACAUGAGACCACAUUCCUCAAUGGUAUCUUUGUGGAUACCAUGCACUGAGCUCAGCUUUGAGACAGAAGGAGAUCAGUCUUCAAACCUCUUCUUAAAACAUUCAUCAUAGACUUUAUAUGAAGGGAAAAUUAACUUUUACUCUGUUUGAACCAUUAAAUAUGUGAGGGGUUUGUUUGAUACUCAAAUCACUAUGAUCCUAACAACACUUUCUCCUUUUCUCCCACCUGUUUCUUGUCCUCUCACAAUCGAUAUGCUAAAUGUAGGAAUGAGGACUGGUCAGGACUGAGGAUAGAAAGAAAGGGGACCUAAAAUGGCAUUGCUUUUUCACUUACAGAUUUUGUUUCACUUAAGUCUUUGAUUCCAUGUGCUUGGGCAUUCAUUUCUACAGUUGCCAGCUAUAAAGCUGGAUUACUUCCACAAAGCCACAAUACAGAAUGUCGCUUAUAUUCUCCACACACAGUGAUGUCACCUAAAUGAAAUGUUCCAAUUUAGAAUCAUUUCCACGUUAAGAAUAUAUGAGGAAGCCAAUCCAUAUGCCCUACCACUUGUCAAGGAAAUUAACUAUAAAGACAGUAUCGAUGUUAUACAAUUAAAAUGAGAGCUCUUAACGUAUUUAAUUUCCCUGUGACCUGACUUUCCUCAUCAUUAUGGACAGAAAAUGUAUGAAUUCAUUAUUUGCAAAUAGCGCAGAUUGCUUAAUAUAUUCUAGAAGGAACUAAGCUUCCUUCUUGUGUGUGCACAUGCCCAUACAUACAUUCAAACACACAUGUUUCUCUACAAAAAGCAAUACUAAUAAAGAAGGUAAAGAUAAGGGGGCAUUCCAAGUUGUUAACAAAGACUUAAUGUAGCACAGUUAUAAACAUAUUGUAGUACAUAUAUCUGUCGGAUCUUCCCAUAACACUUUCAAGGAAGGAAGAAGGGAGGAAGGAAGGGAGGUUAGAAAAUUAAAAAGUCAUUUUAACCUUUUCAGAUUAUUUACCAUGUAAAACAUCAUAUGUUUCCCUCAGUGAAAUUGCAUAAGGAAUCUAUUUGGGAGUGUUUGGGAUUGUUGUGUUUUUAAAUUUUAUUUUUACAAUCAUAGCUCUGAAGCUUAAUCACUUGUAUGUGUUACAAAACCAGAUGGUUCAAGUGGGUGUUUGUUUACAAGCUCUUUGCAUAAGGAUUUUAGCUUCUUUUUAGGCCAAAGCUGAACAUUUCAACUCAGAAAGGAGGAAAACAUAGAAAUAAAUGAAAAAAAAUCACUAGAUUUCAUAAGUCCCCGGGCUUCCUUCCUUCAUUCUGUUCAUGGUAUUAUAUACUGUUUGUAUGUCUGUAUGUGUAUGUGUGUGUCUGUGUGUGUUCCUAAUCCUGUUGUUCUACUUCUGAAUGAGGAGCAAAGAUGAUGGAGACAAACCCAUCUGGGAUCCAAUCUCUGAUUGCAAAGAAUCAUCCUUAGUGAAAGAGGUUAAGAAACAGGCAACUUAUGCCAGUGGCAAAGAACCACUACAAGCCAGACCGCUGGAAGACUUUUCACAAUUAAAGGACAGAAAUCUAGGACAAAUCACCUCAUUUACUUUCCUAAAAAAUUUCAACAUCCAGUUAUCUUAAUUUUCAGCCACCAUUUCAAGCACAGCCCCUUUCCAAGAUGGAUUCAAACAUCUUAUAGAUUUCCCAGAAUUUCAAG